rnacentral:rRNA from 1 species
UACGGAGGGUGCAAGCGUUGCUCGGAAUUACUGGGCGUAAAGGGCGUGUAGGCGGUUUCGUAUGUCUGGCGUGAAAGCCCCGGGCUCACCUCGGGAAGUGCGUCGGAAACUGCGAGACUAGAGUCCCGGAGAGGGAGGUGGAAUUCCAGGUGUAGCGGUGAAAUGCGUAGAUAUCUGGAAGAACACCGGUGGCGAAAGCGGCCUCCUGGACGAUGACUGACGCUGAGACGCGAAAGCGUGGGGAGCAAACAGG